CCUACGGGAGGCAGCAGUGGGGGAUAUUGCACAAUGGGGGAAACCCUGAUGCAGCGACGCCGCGUGGGUGAAGAAGCGCCUCGGCGCGUAAAGCCCUGUCAGCAGGGAAGAAAAUGACGGUACCUGAAGAAGAAGCCCCGGCUAACUACGUGCCAGCAGCCGCGGGAAUACGUAGGGGGCAAGCGUUAUCCGGCUGUACUGGGUGUAAAGGGGGCGCAGACGGCGAGGCAAACCCUGAGUGAAAGCCCGGGGCCCAACCCCGGGACUGCUCUUGGAACUGCGUGGCUAGAGUGCAGGAGGGGCAGGCGGAAUUCCUGGUGUAGCGGUGAAAUGCGUAGAUAUCAGGAGGAACACCGGUGGCGAAGGCGGCCUGCUGGACUGCAACUGACGUUGAGGCCCGAAAGCGUGGGGAGCAAACAGGAUUAGAUACCCGGGUAGUC
rnacentral:rRNA from 1 species